AUAUUGGGCAAUGGGGGAAACCCUGACCCAGCAAUGCCGCGUGAGGGAAGAAGGUUCUCGGAUUGUAAACCUCUGUCCCAAGGGACGAAAGAAAUGACGGUAAGAGAAGAGGAAGCCACGGCUAACUACGUGCCAGCAGCCGCGGUAAUACGUAGGUGGCGAGCGUUGUCCGGAAUUACUGGGCGUAAAGGGUGCGUAGGCGGAAUCUUAAGUCAGAUGUGAAAAUCCCAGGCUCAACCUGGGAACUGCAUUUGAAACUGGGGUUCUAGAGUGCAGGAGAGGAAAGCGGAAUUCCUAGUGUAGCGGUGAAAUGCGUAGAUAUUAGGAAGAACACCAGUGGCGAAGGCGGCUUUCUGGACUGUAACUGACGCUGAGGCACGAAAGCGUGGGGAGCAAACAGG
rnacentral:rRNA from 1 species